rnacentral:rRNA from 1 species
UACAGAGGGGGCAAGCGUUGUUCGGAAUUACUGGGCGUAAAGGGCGCGUAGGCGGCCUGUUAAGUCGAACGUGAAAUCCCCGGGCUCAACCCGGGAACUGCGUCCGAUACUGGCAGGCUUGAAUUCGGGAGAGGGAUGCGGAAUUCCAGGUGUAGCGGUGAAAUGCGUAGAUAUCUGGAGGAACACCGGUGGCGAAGGCAGGUCUCUGGGCUGACACUGACGCUCAUGCACGAAAGCGUGGGGAGCAAACAGG